UCAGUGCCGCAGAUGCCUUUGCCAUCUCUUGGAUGCCCUGAUGAAGCCAACAACUGUGAGUACUAUUCAUUGCUCAGGAUAUCAGGAGGGAAGAGAUUCAGUGACAUGGGGCAAUAACGAAGCAGAUCAAGUGGCUCGAAAAAUGGUUAUGCAGGAGCCCAUCCUGGUUGCAGGUCUGCAAGAGACAGCCACUGAGAACUAGGAUUGGACUAAGGGAUGGCCUCACUUAGAAAAGGCCCAAAUUGCUUAAAAGAUAAAGGACAAUGGCACACUUGAGGGGAAAGCUAUACUCCCCAGAGAACAAAGAAAAGACUCACUUUGCCAAAUACAGAAAUGGACUCAUUUAGGAGAUAAAAAGUUUGUCCAAGUAGUUAAGUGUAUGUAAUAGACUUUAAGAUUUUAGCCAGAGAGGCAGUAGAAAGUAUAAGGUAUGUCAAUAAGUGAAUGCUUAGCAAGCAAACAGGGCAAAGAGACCUAGAGAGUUUGGUGAAAAGUCGAAGUGAACUUCACUGAGAUAAAACCAGAAAAAUAUAAUCACAAGUAUCUCCUAGUGCUUGUAGAUACUUUUUCAGGAAUAGAUAGAAGCUUUCCUCACCAAACAAGAGACGGCCUCUGCAAUCAUCAAGAAGAUACUGGAAGAAAUCUUCCUCCGAUUUGGAAUGCCCAAGGUAAUCUGGUCAGACAAUGGCCCUACUUUCGUUGCCAAGGUAAGCCAGGGUGUGGCCAAGUAUUUAGAGGUCGAUUGGAAAUUACAUUGUAUUUACAGACCUCAAAGUUCAGGACAGGUAGGGUAAAUAAAUAGAACUCUAAAAGAGACCCUGACCAAAUUAACCAUGGAGACUGGCACAGACUGGGUGACACUCCUUCCCUCUUGCUCUCUUCAGAGCAAGAAAUACCCCUUCCAGAUUCAGCCUUACCCCCUUUGAGAUCUUAUAUGGGGCCUCAGCCCCCCUGACUGUAUUAGAUGAUGUUACUGAACCAACAUGUCAUAGUGCCAUAGUAAUAAUGAUUUGUGUGCCAGGCUAAAAGACCUACAGGUGAUACAGAAAGAAAUCUGCUCACAGCUGACAGCAGCCUAUGCCCCGGAGACCCCUGAGACAUCCCAUCAGUUCCAGGUUGCAGCUACACUGAGUCCAGACACUCGAGCCUCGCUGGAAAGGA
rnacentral:lncRNA from 1 species